rnacentral:lncRNA from 1 species
CACAGGCAUUUAUCUCAGAUGAAGUUUCAGGUUGGACUCAUUCUUCUGCCCCAACAGCAGAAUGACUCAUUGAGCCAUUGAGCCAUUCAGCACAUUCUCUAUAUGGCAGAUUCGGUGCUGUCUCUGGAAAUACAUAAACAUAGAGCGAUUCCUUUUUCUGUUGAGGCAAAAUAUGGAUUUGGUUAAUUUCUAUUCACGUCAUGAAUGUGGUAUGUGGAAGGUCUUCUGAGAGCAGAAAGGGAUGUUUCACAGCACAGCCCGGCUGUGUGGUGCUCAGGGCAGGCCCUCUGGAGGAGGUGAGCCUGGGCUCUUGGCCUAAUGUUUCAGCUCUCACUUUCCAGUCCUGAGCUGUUGUUGCCAGUCCAUCUUUCAUGAGACCAUUGGAGUGAUCUUUCUGGUCUUGUCACUUCAUGGUUUAAAGUUUCCCUGGGCCUACACAGUGAAGUCCAAAUUCAGCAUGGUAUUACAAGACCCUUAUGAUCCAGUCUUAACCAUUGGUUAGGUAUCCUACCCAUACUGUUUAUCUCUUGAAUACCUCUAUGCUCUUUGACAAGUCCAGCCCCUACGUGUUCAUACCUCACUUCUGUGACACAGCCUUGCUUCAGGGCUCCCAAUCUCUGUAGCCUCCCUGAACUGUGCAUUUGCUCUGCUGCUUGAUUUGUUUCUGUGACUGUUCCAUUCUCCUCGGGACACAUAGCAGGGACCUUGUCUUGGUCCUUUUUUUUUUGGCUUUAACAGAACAUAGCAAAGAACCUGACAUAGGUGUAGUCUGAGUUUACCACUGGGGUUAUCACAGAGGUCUGCUAAGUGAAUACAACACAGUGGGGACCCAGAACCUCUAGAAAGGGUUGAGGAUUACAAUCCCCAGAUAGCUACAAUCAGGGAAUAAUGUAACCUGUUUGCCUAGGGUGCUACAUGGUAAUCUUGAAUUAGAACAACUGAGACUUCCAUGGGACCUUAGGGUGAUAACCAUUAAACCUACUCUUUCAGUGUUUACUUUGUAAAAGCAUCACACUAAGGAGGUUGUCAUUUAAUCCUCACACCUACCCUGGGUUAUUAACACUGUUGAUGAAGAAAGCCUUACUUGGCUAAGAUAUGGAGCAGGUUAGUAAGUGGUAGAAUAGAUACUCCAGUCCUGUCUCCAAAAUGCAAAUUUUUUUUUAAUUAAAAAAAUUUCUAAUUUUCAAUAUAUUUAUUUUUGAUUUUUUAUUUUCUGUAGAGUUGGAGUUUCGCCAUGUUGUCCAGGCUGGUCUCGAACUCAUGGGUGCAAGCCAUACCCCAACCUCGACCUUCCGAAGUGUUGGGAAUACUGGCAUGAGCCAUGAUGCCUGGCCUCAAAAUGCAUACCCUUAACCACUAUGCUCUCACAUUUUUAGAUGUGGGAUUUCUGUCUACGACGUCGCCCCCACUAAGACCUAGGGCUUAGGUGUCGAGGUGGGAAAGAUCUUGAGGCUUUUCUUCUCAAAAUUAAUCAGAAACGAUGUGAAUUUUAUAUCUCUUUCUGAGGUUUUCCCCAUAAGCUAAUCGGGAUUAGUAGACUUAAAGGUGAAUGACCAACUGUAUCCCUGGUUCACUGGUUAGGAAGAGUACAUAGUCUUUGUGUAUAGGCUAUUUUCCUCGGUAACCUUGGGCAACAUGCUUGACUUCUCCAAGCCAGUCUCCUUUGUGAAAGGUGAUAUACUUACAAGACAUUAUAUUAAAUGAGAACCCAGGCAGGUUACCUACCCUACCAUGACACUGGAAGUAUUCUUUGCCUUAAGAAAAGGAGAAUUGCUGGUUGGUUCCAGGUCCGGUGGGUACCCUCAUUUCCCCUGGGCAAUUUUACUGUAAAAAUAGACCAAGGAUCUCAAGGCCCAGUGGCUUUUGCCUUCUGGGAUACUUUUUUACCUCCCUGUUUAGUAGUAAGGGUCACAUUUUAAAUUGCAGCUAUCACACUGGAGGGAUCAGAUCAUUUAGAACUUUGACUGCUUAAAUAUUACUCUUGCUAAGAUCUUGAGCUUGUCUCAUGUUGACAGACUAGUGAAGUUGGUUACGUUGUCUGUCUCCUCACUGGAGGGAGAGAUUCAGAGUUGCCCUGUCCAACCCAGUGCUAUCUCUGGAAAGGGUUGGAUUGAAAUCUAGUCUGCCUUCAUUCUGAGGUAUAAUCAUGAGGGUUAGGUGAAAGGGUCCCGAGUGAGAAGAUGGCAUGGGUCCUAGGGUGGGGAGCCCGAUGCCAAGUCAGACUUCACUCGGUAUGUUUAUUCAAAGCCCCACUUUCACUCGUAGCAUAUCAUAGGUGGUCUCUGCAAGUUGCUGACCCUGAUUCAGACUGUUCCAUAAAAGUCAGACACUUGGUUUUAGUUCCCAAACUGAUUUUGAUGACAUUCUUGACUGCAGGGCUUGGAGUUAACCCCACUGGGCCUGAGUUGUCUCUCUGUAAAGUUACACAUCAUUUCAGACUCAAAGGCCUCUAGCAUGCAGGGUCUGGUGUCAUAAUAGGCACCAAUGGGAACCAUUACUGUCAUUGCCUUUUUUGGCUUUAAUCUUCCCAAUUGUAAGUUCCUUUCAUGUUUAAAACAAGUUUAAAAGACAGGGGGACUUAGGCAUGCUCAGGCAGUCUAGCCUUUAAUGUAAGAAUUUCAAAACAUAAAGGAAAAAAAACUUUUUUUUUUAAGCAGUACUUUGUGAGUUACAAGACAGCAGCAGCUCCUUAGUGUUGAUUGCCGAGGCCUUUUUGGUUUGAAAACUCUGCUUCCUUUGUGAAUUUGGUGUUAGGAGUUCUUAUUGUUAUUCUGCAGCCUUUACUAUUGUCCUUUAUUUACUGAACACAGUGAAUACCAAGCACUGUUUAUUAGAGGUUAGGAGUAGGGGCAGGUGAUUAAAAAAACAAAAAAGCUAAUAAUCUCCUCAAGCAAUUUCUGGCCUAAUAGAAUUAUAGUAGACAGUGAAGUAUCUAAACCCAGGGAAUCAGAUUGAGGCACCAUGUCCAUCGCCUUGAGAAUUAAUAGGCUGCAUUUCUGGGUUCUCCUUUUUUUUUUUUUUUUUGCCCAACUGAGUCUUUCUGUGGACUUACAUGGAACUUCUUAUUCUCUUAAAUCAUUAAGUUACUUGACAAUAUUCUUGGAUUUGGAGAAACUGGAUGUAGGGCCGUAUGAAAAAAUCAUUCGAAAUCAGAUUUAGGGGUAUAAGGUUGGAUAGGAAUGUUUUAGAAAGAAGAAUGUAAGGCAGAUAACUAAUUUGUCACAUCCAAAGUAUAAAACUGCUACUUUUUCCCUAGAAAAGGGAAGCUCAUUUUAGGCAGCCUAAACCAGUAAGAUUUUCUUCCUCCUCCAAGUGCAGAUUUUUGUACCUUUCGUUUGUCAAAACAUUCUUUGGCCCUAUGCAUGCCAGAGUGAUAUAGAAAGGAAGUUACCACAUUUUUUUGAGAACAAAUCACUCCUGAUAAAAUUUCUUAGACAAUUGAUAAUCAUUUUAAGAAGAAAUUUAAUUGUAUUUAGCUCUGUGUCUCGCCCCUUUGGUGUCACUCUUCUACCUCUUCCAUCACUAUAGCUAAAUAUUUAGAAGUAUAUCUUGACACCUAGCACAAAUGUUUUGGUUAAGUAUCUUAAAACUGAUGGAUGGUAUGGCUGGGGCAGCAUGGCUCACGCCUGUAAUCCCAGCACUUUGGGAGGCCAAGGCGGGUGAAUCACCUGAGGUCAGGAGUUUGAGACCGGCCUGACCAACUUGGAGAAACCCCGUCUCUACUAAAAAUACAAAAAUUAGUCAGGGGUGGUGGCGCAUGCCUGUAAUCCUGUCUACUCAGGAGGCUGAGGCAGGAGAAUUGCCUGAACCCGGGAGGCAGAGGUUGCAGUGAGCUGAGAUCGUGCCAUUGCACUCCAGCCUGGGCAACAAGAGCAAAACUCAGUCUCAAAAAACAAAACAAAAACCUGUUGGUAUAGUACGAAAGAAACGUCUUGCAGUUUUCUGUUGCAGAGAAUUAAUUAGAACCAACCUGUUGGAUUAUACACAUUCACCUUUCAGAAUCCUUUCUUCUCUGUGGAAACCCACACUCUCAGCAGUGUGUGGGAACACAGUAGAUUCUUAAGGAAUGCUUGUUGAAUGUUGCAGUCUGCAUCUUCUUGAAGUAACAGAACUGUUGGUAGCUGUUUAAAAGUAAAAUGUGUCUAAAGACCUUUUGGAAAUUAAGAUGUAAGAGAUUAAUGCACCAAAGCAGUCUCUUAAUUACUUAAAAUGAAUUAUUUCAAAGAAUCUUUAAUUGAAUUUUCUGUGAAGUCUGGAAUUUGUAAAUUAUGUCCCUUUGUUCAAACCAGCCCCUGAAAAGAACAAUUAAGGCAAUUAAGAUAGCAUUAAAGUUUUCAAUGAAGUUGGCAUUUUCUGUGUAUUAAGAUUAGAUGUUAGCUGCUGAAGUUUGUGGAGGUCGGACAUAAAGCUUCCAACAUCAGUAAUGCAAAAUUGUCUUGAACCUGCGAUAAAAUUUUGUUGGACUUUUUUUUCAUUGCAGUGAAAAGGGCCAUGUAGCAUGCCUCAAAGCCAGGUUACUCAGCCUAGUCCUUGUUUAAGCAGUUUUGAUAUUCAUUCAAGUUCAAUUUUCUCACUGAUUUUAUGAUUAAUUUCUUGGAAAAUUUGAAAGUUUUCAAGAAGUAAAAAAUUAAUAUCUUGUUAUCCCAGUAUAUAGAGAUUAACUUCAGUUCAAUGUUUGGUGCAUUUUCUUCUAGUCUUUUUUUCAAUGUAUAAAUAUUAAAGUUAUUUCAUAGUUGAGAUCAUACUGCAUAUAUGAUUACUGUAUCUUGCUUUUUUCAUUUUAACGUCGUGAGCAAUUUUCCCAUGACAUUACAAACUGUCUUUGAAAAAUGGAAAACAUUUGGGGCUGUCAGCAUAACUGAAAAUGUUUUCUUGGUGUGACACAUGUAUCUUUGUAAUUGGUUUGAUUUAGUGUGCUUUAUUUCAAUAAAAAUUCAGUAUUAUAAUUUACAGAUUGGGGUGGGGAGUGGUAUCUACUUCAAAUUACUGAAAUCUUCCUAGUAGAAUUCCUUUUUAAAUGUUUGAACUCCCCUGGUACAUCUUAAACACGACAUUGACACUGCAAGUGCUUGGAUGUCCUGGCACCUCAGAACACAACUUUGUGCAAAAGGAGUGCUGUGCAUCUGAAUAGUGCAAUUCAUUUCCAAUGCAAGAAUGCCAGUUUCUUAGGGCCCCCGGUCAGGAUAUUACCCACUUGGUUUAAGUUGUGAUUUCAAAUCCCAUUUUCUAUGGGAGAUACACUGGUGGAACAAAUCUGCAGAGGGCCCUGCACCUGCGCUGGUGGAUCAACGGUGUCUUCUCACCUCCAGGGCUAGCUGCCUUGCCUUCCCUCGUGGGGCUUAAGUGGCUGGGAAGCAGAUAGACAGUGUAGAUGAAGUCCUGGGCCACUGGCUGCUGGACUGAGGCAGUGAGAUGACUGGGCUGGCAUUUGUUCUUUCUCUGCCUGUGUGUGACCUCUAACUAUGUGCCUGGAAACUGAAUUACAUGUAAUUAAUGCUGCAAACAGGAUUUUCUUAUUGCCUAAGCAUGAACUUGGUAUGAAAAUAAUAGUUAAUAAUUUACUAUGUAACUUGGAUUCUUAUAACCUGGACUGUAAGUUUGUUUUAGCUCCAGUGGGAGUUUCCUUUUCAAAGUAUGAUGAAACCAUCCUCAUCUUUUCUACCCCUGGACUAAUCAUUUAAAAUGGAUACAGACACUUUAAAACUGCUGAGUUUAUCUUGUGUUAAGCAAUUAAGACUUCUCUGUCUAAUCAUGCUACUUGUUCUGCUUUUGUCAAUUGAUACUCUCAUAGCCCUUUUGAAAAAGUAUGUUUUUGUAGAAAUUAAGUUGUAUGCCCUCAGGACGUACAACUUGGUUUUUUUUUUUUGUUUUUUUUGUUUUUUUUUGUUUUUUUUUUAGUUCUGAAGCAUGUUUAGAUUUUUCUGUACUUGUAUAGGUCUGAUUGUUUAUGUGGCUUAGCUAAGGUUUCCUAAAGCAUCUUCUAGUAGCUGUCAUUGGUUUGUAAAAUAAAAUUUGGGCUGUCAAAAUGC